UAAAAAGGGCCCUCCUGGGGUACAGAGAUUUGGCCCGAUCAAAUCUCUUGGGGCAGAAAAUGUCCCAAGUGUUAUACUAGGUGUCUGGAGCGCCUGGAGGUGGCGUUGAAGGCUAAAACGGCCUCUUCCCGCCCAACCCCAGCCCUCUUGACUGGCAGGGCUGCGAGAGGAGUUGGUUCACCGAGCGAGCAUCUGCAUGGGCCGCGACGGCUGGCAGCGGUGUGUGCGGUGCAUCCUGGCUCCCCGCGCCCGGGACGGGGCGUGUGGGCGGAACGGGCACGCCAGCCGGGGCCCGAGGGACGGCUUGAGGUCUGGGGCGUGGGAAGAACCCCAACGCCAGGGUUAAAAAACACCCGUGGGGAUGCGGCGACGACCGAGGCCACGGUCCACGGUGGGGAUCUCGGGGGGCAGAACGAAGAGGGUUCCCGGGAAAGCUGCUCAGGGCUGGCUCCCGCGCUCCCGGCCCUACUCUACGGGGGAAGGAGCGGCGAUCGCCCGGCCCUUUGCGUGUUGAGCGGCCUCAGUCAGGGUCGCUCCAGAGCGGGAGGGGAGUGGCACCCCCCCAACAGCCCCUCCGUUUCACGGGGGUCCCGGGCACUUGGGGAGCGCCUCUGUUCCCGGCCUCUCUGCCCACGCGCUGCCGCGAGGCCCUGUGUUUGCUGGCGGCCGCCCUUCCUUCCCUCCCCGGUCCGCCCCGCCACCCCAGUCGCCCCCGUCGCCACCACCGCUGCCAGAGGUCAGACCCGCGCAGCGGCGGCGGCGAAGAUGCAGACCCCGCACUGCGCUCUGGGCGGCCGUUGGACGUUGGGCAUGCGCCCCGCCCCUGACGUCACCGUUGCGGCGGCCCGGCCCCGCCCUCGUCUCCAUGGAGACCAGCACGCUUCCCGGCGCCCUCCUGCCAACUGCCGUAGCGCGGCUGCUCCUGCCUGCGCCUGGCGCUGCUGUGGACGACGCAGUGAGCCAGGGUCUCCCAGACCCUUAUUAACAUGCAGACUCGCAGACGGCCUUCUCUGAAGAGUCAGGCAGGCCAGCGAUGCUGGACUACAGUGACUCCAGGCUCCUUUCCUAGUUCAGAGGCUUUUGGCUCAAGGUUCCACCCAGAAGUAUGGUUCUCAACUACACACUCAGAUCACCUGGUACACUUUAAAAAAAAUACCAGUGCCUUCUCUCAGACCAAUUGAAUCUGAAGUGCUGAAGGAGCAAACCUGGCAGAUGUGGCCCAUAGGCUCUCUUAAAGCAUCUUGGCUAAAGAAAUCAUCCCUCCUCACUCCUCCCCAAAACGGCAAAAUGCUCACCCUCUCUUCAUACAAGGGAGUUGCAAGCAGAAGGCUACAAGAACUCAGAACUCGAAAGCUGCCAACCUGGUCUGAGAGCUGAGUUUAUAUCCCUUUGUCUGGCAUGCCCUGUGACUUCCCAGUACUCACAGCCAGCCUCUGUUGCAGCUGGGAGGAGGGCUGAUACCAAAGAGGUGGCCUUUGUGGGGAGCCGUGGGGUUUCUGUGAGGCUAAGCCCUAUUUUUAAAAAAUUAUUUAUUUA